GAUGAACGCUGGCGGUAUGCUUAACACAUGCAAGUCGAACGGACUCUUCGGAGUUAGUGGCGGACGGGUGAGUAACGCGUGAGAAUCUGGCUUUGGGUUCGGGACAACCACUGGAAACGGUGGCUAAUACCGGAUGUGCCGAGAGGUAAAAGAGAAAUUGCCUGAAGAUGAGCUCGCGUCUGAUUAGCUAGUUGGUGAGGUAAAGGCUCACCAAGGCAGCGAUCAGUAGCUGGUCUGAGAGGAUGACCAGCCACACUGGGACUGAGACACGGCCCAGACUCCUACGGGAGGCAGCAGGGGGGAAUGUUCCGCAAUGGGCGAGAGCCUGACGGAGCAAUACCGCGUGAGGGAAGAAGGCUCUUGGGUUGUAAACCUCUUUUCUUAGGGAAGAACAAAAUGACGGUACCUAAGGAAUCAGCAUCGGCUAACUCCGUG
rnacentral:rRNA from 1 species